CCGCGUGAGCGAAGAAGGCCUUCGGGUCGUAAAGCUCUGUUGUUAGGGAAGAACAAGUACGAGAGUAACUGCUCGUACCUUGACGGUACCUAACCAGAAAGCCACGGCUAACUACGCGCCAGCAGCCGCGGUAAUACGUAGGUGGCAAGCGUUGUCCGGAAUUAUUGGGCGUAAAGCGCGCGCAGGCGGUCCUUUAAGUCUGAUGUGAAAGCCCACGGCUCAACCGUGGAGGGUCAUUGGAAACUGGGGGACUUGAGUGCAGAAGAGGAGAGUGGAAUUCCACGUGUAGCGGUGAAAUGCGUAGAGAUGUGGAGGAACACCAGUGGCGAAGGCGACUCUCUGGUCUGUAACUGACGCUGAGGCGCGAAAGCGUGGGGAGCAAACAGGAUUAGAUAUCCUGGUAGUCCACGCCGUAAACGAUGAGUGCUAAGUGUUAGAGGGUUUCCGCCCUUUAGUGCUGCAGCUAACGCAUUAAGCACUCCGCCUGGGGAGUACGGCCGCAAGGCUG
rnacentral:rRNA from 1 species